CUGGAUCGCGUUUUGCCGGGCUUCAUGCAGGGACUGCAAAUCCAGGUAGUGGCCUUGACGGUCAACCACCUGAUAAUGCAUAUGUCCCUAGGCAUAUUGAGAUAGAAAUUCAUACUGGUCGUAGAGUAUCUGUUGGUACUGCCAACCCUGGGGAACAAGCUAAUGCACAGCAAACACAAGAGCAUACCGAUUCAACAAGAAAUUCUUCUGUGCCCAACUUAAUUGCUCAGGCAAUCUCAGGGGCCUUGGGUGGUGUGGCUUUGUCCGAAGAGCCCAGAGUACGUGUUGUUCCAGUAAGGACAGUGGUUGCAGUACCUGCUCGAGUUGGCCAUUCUGUAUCAGAUCCAUCUGGUAG
rnacentral:misc_RNA from 1 species